UACGUAGGGGGCAAGCGUUAUCCGGAUUUACUGGGUGUAAAGGGUGCGUAGACGGAUGGACAAGUCUGAUGUGAAAGGCUGGGGCUCAACCCCGGGACUGCAUUGGAAACUGCCCGUCUUGAGUGCCGGAGAGGUAAGCGGAAUUCCUAGUGUAGCGGUGAAAUGCGUAGAUAUUAGGAGGAACACCAGUGGCGAAGGCGGCUUACUGGACGGUAACUGACGUUGAGGCUCGAAAGCGUGGGGAGCAAACAGG
rnacentral:rRNA from 1 species